GAUGCGACACCAACAAGCACAGCAGGACAACCAACAGUUCCGACCACAGCAACAACGACCGCAAGUACAGCAGGAUUGAUACCAACAGCCACAAUAGAAAGUCCUACAGUGUGUUCUGUCGAUGCUCCGACUCUGGAUGCUGUACCUGGGCAAGUUGGUCACGUGACGUCUCCUUACUACCCGUCCCCCUACUACAACAACGCCGACUGUCGGUGGUUGAUAAACGCUGGCAGUGGUUAUGUUGUCAAGGUGACUGUCACUGAUGUCAGUCUGGAGACAGGGUGGGAUUUCUUGGAG